GGACGAGUAGCUCAGCGGUAGAGCAACGGAUUGCAGAUCCGUAGGUCUUGGGUUCGAUCCCCAAUUCGUCCU
rfam:Magnaporthe poae ATCC 64411 unplaced genomic scaffold supercont1.3, whole genome shotgun sequence.